UACAGAGGGUGCGAGCGUUAAUCGGAAUUACUGGGCGUAAAGCGCACGCAGGCGGCAUCGUAAGUCGGAUGUGAAAUCCCCGGGCUCAACCUGGGAACUGCAUUCGAAACUGCGACGCUCGAGUAUGGGAGAGGGCAGCGGAAUUCCGGGUGUAGCGGUGAAAUGCGUAGAUAUCCGGAGGAACAUCAGUGGCGAAGGCGGCUGUCUGGCCCAAUACUGACGCUCAGGUGCGAAAGCGUGGGGAGCAAACAGG
rnacentral:rRNA from 1 species